UUGUUGUAUAGGAUUUCAUGGGAUUAGGGUUCAUGUCAUAUUUCAUUUUUGAACCGAGGUUGAAGAUGAUGUGUGGAAUAUUUUGAUUGGUUGGCGUUUAUUUUUAUCUUUUGUGACUUAUUAUUUAUGACCAGUUGACACCGGGUCACAUGAUUAUUUGGUUUAUUUAAAAAUGUCACGCCCUUGUUUAUUCUGAUUAAAUGAAGUGGACCAUGGGCCUUGGAUUUUCUCUUUUUCUACCCCCCUGCUUUUGGCUCAUGCGUGUGUUUCACCUUAUUUCAGUUCAUUUCCCAUUUUACUCAUACGCCUCCCUUUCCAUUUUCUUUUAUUAUUUGAUAAUUGUUUCUUUUGUUUUUAUUUAAAAUACUUCUUUUUUAUCC
rnacentral:lncRNA from 1 species